rnacentral:rRNA from 1 species
UACGUAGGGUGCGAGCGUUGUCCGGAAUUAUUGGGCGUAAAGAGCUUGUAGGCGGUUUGUCGCGUCUGCUGUGAAAAUCCGGGCUCAACCCGGACUUGCAGUGGUACGGGCAGACUAGAGUGUGGUAGGGGAGACUGGAAUUCCUGGUGUAGCGGUGAAAUGCGCAGAUAUCAGGAGGAACACCGAUGGCGAAGGCAGGUCUCUGGGCCACUACUGACGCUGAGAAGCGAAAGCAUGGGGAGCGAACAGG